GUGGGGAAUAUUGGACAAUGGGCGAAAGCCUGAUCCAGCCAUGCCGCGUGUGUGAAGAAGGUCUUCGGAUUGUAAAGCACUUUAAGUUGGGAGGAAGGGCAGUAAGUUAAUACCUUGCUGUUUUGACGUUACCGACAGAAUAAGCACCGGCUAACUUCGUGCCAGCAGCCGCGGUAAUACGAAGGGUGCAAGCGUUAAUCGGAAUUACUGGGCGUAAAGCGCGCGUAGGUGGUUUUGUAAGUUGGAGGUGAAAUCCCCGGGCUCAACCUGGGAACUGCCUCCAAAACUGCAUGACUAGAGUACGGUAGAGGGUAGUGGAAUUUCCUGUGUAGCGGUGAAAUGUGUAGAUAUAGGAAGGAACACCAGUGGCGAAGGCGACUACCUGGACUGAUACUGACACUGAGGUGCGAAAGCGUGGGGAGCAAACAGGAUUAGAUACCCUAGUAGUCC
rnacentral:rRNA from 1 species